rnacentral:lncRNA from 1 species
ACUGCAGUAGUGAAAAUGAAGCGCACGAUGGGCGGAAGCUAGGAAGACAAACAUAAAGAUGAAGUGCUUAAUUCAAGGUCACACAAUGUCGGGGAUGGACCUCCAGAUUUCCUUACUGACCUGCAUUAUCUUGUGGAUACCUGAGUGAAUUCCACACCACCCAUUUUAUAGAUGAAACCACUGAGACAUGGAGCAAUUGACUGAGUAGUCACUGCCCCACCCCUGCCUGGAGCCUCACACAUGACUCGCCUCCUCUCAGUGACCACAGGUGAGACGUGGUCUUGUAACACAGUGGUUAAGAAUGUGACUUUGGAGCCAGCCUGCUAGGGGCUGAAUUCUGACUCAGCCAUUUACUAACUGUGUGACCUUAGGUGGAGUCUCACUCUGUAGCCCAAGCUGGAGUGGCGUGAUCUCGACUCACUGCAACCUCCGCCUCCUGGGAUCAAGUGAUUCUCGUGCCUCAGCCUCCUGAGUAGCCGGGACUACAGGUCACAGAAUUUUCCACACUCCUUGACAGAGGUGCUUAACCCUUAUCCAUCAGCAUUCUCAGACAGCACCUCCGGUUAGGGACAGUAUCUGACCGUCCGACAUCCCUGCAGCCCCCAUGUGUCACACAGACUCAGCCUCAGGUAGAUGGUUUCCGUAGAUGGUGGCUUUCUUUGGACCCUUGACAUCAACCAGUUACUAUUUGACUCUUCUGCAGAACCCCAUGUUGACCCCUGCUUUGAGGUGGCAGAGUUAACACUACUCUUCGUUAUAAGCUCUCGUCUGGGGCAACUCAGAAGAACGUAAGUUCCAUGGGGAAGGUUUUUGUUUGUUUCUAAUUGUGGUAAAAUAUAUAUAACAUAAAAUCGACCAUUUUAAUGAUUUUUGAGUGUACAAUUCAGUGACAUUAAGUAUAUUUACAAUAUCAUGUAACCAUCAACACCAUUCAUCUUCAGAACUUCUUCAUCUUCCCACACUGAAACUCUCUACCCACUAAAC